AAUGCCUCCUUUUGAGGGGUGAGCUGAAGGCCAAGCCUGGCCAUGCUCUCCUGUCCCACCCAAGAUGAAGUUGUUCUCUGGGGAUGGUGAGUGUAGGAAACGAAAUAGAACAAAAAACAGCUCUGGCUUCUAGGGGUUUUCUUUGACACCAGCUGCUCAACAGCCCAUUCACAAAACUCAAACACACUUAAAUUCUGUUUCAUGGACGACUGGCCUCUUGACACUACUGCGUGUUUUUGAGGAAGAAAGGGAAAAUACCACAAGAGUUUGGAAAACGAAGAUGGAUGAAGAUCUGAAGAGAAAACUGCUCGUUGUUCUUGCUGUCCUCUUGCUGCCCAGCUCAGCACAAACAGGGAAUACAGACAGACUCUCAGGGCAUCACUGCACUGACUUCCAGACAGCAAAUCUCCUACGGGGCAGCAAACUGAAGGUCCAGUUUCUUCUGUUCACCUCCUCGAGCCCCAGCUGUGGAGAGCUGAUUUCAGCUGAUGAUGGCAUCAAGAACUGCAGCUUCAACAGCAGCCUGGAAACCAAAAUCAUUAUCCAUGGC